rnacentral:rRNA from 1 species
UACAGAGGUCUCAAGCGUUGUUCGGAUUCAUUGGGCGUAAAGAGCGUGUAGGCGGCCAGACAAGUCUGCUGUGAAAACUCGAGGCUCAACCUCGAGCUGUCGGUGGAAACUGUCUGGCUAGAGUCCGGAAGAGGAGAGUGGAAUUCCUGGUGUAGCGGUGAAAUGCGCAGAUAUCAGGAAGAACACCUAUGGCGAAGGCAGCUCUCUGGGACGGUACUGACGCUGAGACGCGAAAGCGUGGGGGAGCGAACAGG